AGAGCAAGGCCUUGUCAGUGUGACUGGAAAAGCCUGCGUUUUAUUCCCUUACGAAACUGAAGGAACACUGUAGAAUUAAGAAAAGAAAAUCCCCUUCAAUCUCUGAAAGUUUCACUCACUAGCGCAUAUUAUUUCUCUUAUGAAGAAUACGGCGAAUAAUGCCGACGUUGGGGCUAUGCGUCGCCUUAUUGGCUAAGGUGAAGCUGCGAGCGGCGCCCAAUCAAUACUCCUGCUGGACCCUAGUAACAAUUACCUAAGUCACAGGGCACAUCGGACUCAAUAAGCCAAAGGUGUGCAAAACCCAACGAUCUGCUCUAUAAUAUAAUACAAAAUCUCACGCAAGAAACACAAAGUGAUGAUCAAGAGAAUAGAGCGAGUCUAACUUCUGACUCAAGAAUUUUUUCAUAGAUUUUCAUAGAUUCUUCCUAGAAUCUAUGAAAAACGGGUGAUGCAAAGCUACAAUGCAGAGCUAAGAAAAAC
ensembl:lncRNA